rnacentral:rRNA from 1 species
GCGGUAAUACGUAGGGUGCAAGCGUUAAUCGGAAUUACUGGGCGUAAAGCGUGCGCAGGCGGUGAUGUAAGACAGUUGUGAAAUCCCCGGGCUCAACCUGGGAACUGCAUCUGUGACUGCAUCGCUGGAGUACGGCAGAGGGGGAUGGAAUUCCGCGUGUAGCAGUGAAAUGCGUAGAUAUGCGGAGGAACACCGAUGGCGAAGGCAAUCCCCUGGGCCUGUACUGACGCUCAUGCACGAAAGCGUGGGGAGCAAACAGGAUU